AGCCUGAUGCAGCGACGCCGCGUGAGGGAUGACGGCCUUCGGGUUGUAAACCUCUUUCAGCAGGGAAGAAGCGCAAGUGACGGUACCUGCAGAAGAAGCGCCGGCUAACUACGUGCCAGCAGCCGCGGUAAUACGUAGGGCGCAAGCGUUGUCCGGAAUUAUUGGGCGUAAAGAGCUCGUAGGCGGCUUGUCACGUCGGUUGUGAAAGCCCGGGGCUUAACCCCGGGUCUGCAGUCGAUACGGGCAGGCUAGAGUUCGGUAGGGGAGAUCGGAAUUCCUGGUGUAGCGGUGAAAUGCGCAGAUAUCAGGAGGAACACCGGUGGCGAAGGCGGAUCUCUGGGCCGAUACUGACGCUGAGGAGCGAAAGCGUGGGGAGCGAACAGGAUUAGAUACCCUGGUAGUCCACGCCGUAAACGGUGGGCACUAGGUGUGGGCAACAUUCCACGUUGUCCGUGCCGCAGCUAACGCAUUAAGUGCCCCGCCUGGGGAGUACGGCCGCAAGGCUAAAACUCAAAG
rnacentral:rRNA from 1 species